GCCGGGAUAGCUCAGUUGGGAGAGCAGCAGACUGAAGUCACUAGCAUUUCUGAAGGUCCCGUGUUCAAUCCACGGUCCUGGCA